rnacentral:lncRNA from 1 species
CUCUCCUGGUGACAUCACAGAGCCACAGAGAGAACUUUCAGGUGUCAUCACAGAUCCACAGAGGGACACUCAGGUGACAUCAUGAGCCACAAUGAGACACUGCAGGUGACAUCAUAUAGCCACAGAGACACCCUCCAUUGACAUCACAGAGCCACAGGGAGACCCUUAGGAUACAUCACAGAGCCACAGAGGACCCUCAGGUGACAUCACUUAGCCACAGAUAGACCCUUCAGCUGACAUCACAGAACCACAGCGAGACCCUUCAGCUGACCUCACAGAGCCACAGAUGGACAUUUCAGGUGAUCUCACAGAGCCACAGAUAGACAAUUCAGGUGACAUCACAGAGCCAUAGAGAGAUGACUAUUGUGACAUCACAGAACCACAGAGAGUCACUUCAGGUGACAUCAUGGAGCAACAGAGAAACCCUUCAGUUUACAUCACAGAGCCACAGAGACACCAUUAAUGAGACAUCACAAAGCCACUAAGAGACCGUUCAGUUGAUAUCACAGAGCCACAGUGUAAUCAAAAGUUGACAUCACAGAGCCACAGAGAGACUCUCCAGGUGUCAUCACAGAGCCACAGAGAGACCUUUCAGGUGUCAUCACAGAGCCACAGUGUGAACCUUCAGGUGCCAUCACAAACCCACUAAGAGACCUUUCAGGUGACAUCACAGAGCCACAUUGAGUCACUUCAGGUGACUUCUCAGACCACAGAGAGACACUUCAGGUGUCAUCACAGAGCCACAGAGAGACACUACAGUUGACAUUAAUGAGCCACAGAGAGAUGCUUCAAGUGACAUCACAGAGCCAUAGUGAGACAAUUCAGGAGACACCACAGAGCAACAGAGUUACCCUUCAAGUGACAUCACAGAACCACAUAUUGACACUUUUGGGACAUCACAGAACCAGAGAGAGAUCCUUUGGUGAUAUCACAGAGCAACAGAGACGCCUUCUGGUGACAUUACAGAGCCACAGAUACACCAUUCAGGUUACACCACAAAUCCAUUAAGAGACAAUUAGGUGGCAUCACAGAGCCACAUAGAGACCCUUCAGUUGACUUCACUGAGCCACAGAGAGACCCUUCAUGUGUCUUCACACAGGUACAGAGACACUUCAGGUGACAUCACAGAGACACAGAGAGACCCUUCUGGUGUCACCACAAAGAAGCAGAGAACCCUUCUGGUGACAUCACAGAACAACAGAGAUACCAUUCAGAUGACAUCACAAAGCCUCCAAGAGACCCUUUAGGUGACAUCACAAUACAAGAGAGUGACAUUUCAGGUGACAUCACAGAGCCACCGAGAGAUGCUUCAGGUGAGAUCACAGAUCCACUCAGAGACACUUCAGGUGUCAUCACAGAGCCACAGAGAGACACUUAAGGUGACAACACAGAGCCACAGGAGACACUUCAGGUGACAUCACAGAGCAACACAGAGACACUUCAUGUGUCAUCACAGAGCCACAGAGAGACCCUUCAGGUGACAACACAGAGCCACAUAGAAACACUUCAGGUGGCUUCACAGAGCCACAGAGAGACAAUUCAGGUGUCAUCACAGAGCCACAGAGAGACACUUCAGGUGACAUAACAGAGCCAGAGCAAUACCAUUCUUGUGACAUCACAGAACCAGAGACAGAUCCUUCUGGUGACAUCACAGAACCACAGAGACAUCUUCUGGUGACAUCACAGAGCCACCGAGACAUCAUUCAGGUAACAUCACAAAGCCUCUAAGGGACUUUACAGGUGACAGAACAGAACCAGAGAGAGAUGCUUUAGGUGACAUCACAGAGCCACAGAGAGACGCUUCAGGUGUCAUCACAGAGCCACAGAGAUGCAAUUCAGGUGACAUCACAGAGCCACAGAGAGACACUUCAGGUGUCAUCACAGAGCCACAGAGAGACCCUUCAGGUGUCAUCACAGAGCCACAGAGAGAUACUUCAGGGGAUAUCACAGAGCCAUAGAGAGACUUUCAUGUGACCUCACAUAGAAACAGAGAUGCUUCAGGUGACAUCACAGAGCCACAGAGAGACCCUUCAGGUGACAUCACAGAGCCACAAGCGACACUUCAGGUGUCAUCACAGAGCCAUAGAGACCCCUUCAUGUGUCAUCACAGAGCCACAGAGUGACCAUUCAUAUGACACCAGAGAUACACAGAGAGACCAUUCAGGUGACAUCAAUGAGCCACAGAGAGACCCUUCAGGUGUCACCACAGAGCCACAGAGAGACACUUAAGGUGACAACAGAGAGCCACAGGAGACACUUCAGGUGACAACACAGAGCAACACAGAGACACUUCAUGUGUCAUCACAGAGCCACAGAGAGACCCUUCAGGUGACAACACAGAGCCACAUAGAAACACUUCAGGUGGCUUCACAGAGCCACAGAGAGACGCUUCAGGUGUCAUCACAGAGCCACAGAGAGGCACUACAGGUGAUAUCACAGAGCCACAUAGAGAACCUUCAGGUGACAUUACAGAGCCACAGAGACACACUUCCUGUGACAUCACAGAGACACAGAGACCAAUUCAGGUGACAUCAAAGAGCCACAGAGACAUCAUUCUGUUGACAUCACAAAGCGACCAAGAUACCAUUCAGGUGACAUCACAGAACCAUAGAGAGACCCUUCUGGUGACUUCACAGAGCCACAGAGAGACCCAACAGUUGACAACCCUUAGCCACAGAGAGACGCUUCAGGUGACAUCACAGAACAACAGAGAUUCCUUUCAGGUGACAUCACAGAGCCACAGAGAGACCCUUCAGUUGACUUCACAGAGCCCCAGAGAGACCCUUCAGGUGUCUUCACACAGCCACAGAGACACUUCAGGUGAUAUCACAGAGCCACAGAGAGACCCUUCUGGUGUCACCACAAAGAUGCAGAGACAUCUUCAGGUGACAUCACAGAACAACAGUGAUACCAUGCAGAUGACAUAACAAUGCCUCCAAGAGACCCUUCAGGUGAAUUCACAGAACAAGAGAGUGAACGUUCUGGUGACAUCACUUAGCGACAGAGCGAUGCGUUAGGUGACAUCACAGAGUCACAGAGACACUUCAGGUGUCAUCACAGAGCCACAGAGAGACACUUAAGGUGACAACACAGAGCCACAGGAGAGACUUCAGGUGACAACACAGAGCAACACAGAGACACUUCAUGUGUCAUCACAGAGCCACAGAGAGACACUUCAGGUGACAACACAGAGCCACAUAGAAACACUUCAGGUGGCUUCACAGAGCCACAGAAGACGCUUCAGGUGUCAUCACAGAGCCACAGAGAGGCACUACAGGUGAUAUCACAGAGCCACAUAGAGAACCUUCAGGUGACAUCACAGAGCCACAGAGACACACUUCCUGUGACAUCACAGAGACACAGAGACCGAUUCAGGUGACAUCAAAGAGCCAAAGAGACAUCAUUCUGUUGACAUCACAAAGCGACCAAGAGACCAUUCAGGUGACAUCACAGAACCAUAGAGAGACCCUUCUGGUGACUUCACAGAGCCACAGAGAGACCCGACACUUGACAACCCUUAGCCACAGAGAGACGCUUCAGGUGACAUCACAGAACAACAAGAAUUCCUUUCAGGUGACAUCACAGAGCCACAGAGAGACCCUUCAGUUGACUUCAAAGAGCCACAGAGAGACCCUUCAUGUGUCUUCACACAGCCACAGAGACACUUCAGGUGUCAUCACAGAGCCACAGAGAGACCUUUCAGGUGACAUCACAGAGACACAGAGACACAUCAGGUGUCAUCACAGAGCCACAGAGAGACGCUUCAGGUGAGAUCACAGAUCAACACAGAGACAUUUCAGGUGACAUCACAGAACCACAGAGAUUCCUUUCAGGUGACAUCACAGAGCCACAGAGAGACACUUCAGGUGAUAUCACAGAGCCAUAGAGAUACUUUCAGGUGACAUCACAGAGCCACAGAAAUACCAUUCUUGUGACAUCACAGAACCAGAGGCAGAUCCUUCUGGUGACAUCACAGAGCCACAGAGACCCCUUCUGGUAACAUCACAGAGCCUCAGAGACAUCAUUCAGGUAACAUCACAAAGCUUCUAAGGGACUUUACAGGUGACAUAGCAGAUCCAGAGAGAGAUCCUUCAGGUGACAUCACAGACCCACAGAGAGACACUUCAGGGGUCAUCACAGAGCCACAGAGAGACACUUCAGGUGACAUAACAGAGCCACAGAAAUACCAUUCAGGUGACAUCAAAGCACCAGAGAGAGAUCCUUCUGGUGACAUCACAGAGCCACAGAGACCUCAUUUGGUGACAUCACAGAGCCACAGAGACACCAUUCAGGUGACAUCACAAAGCCACAGAGAGACCGAUCAGGUGUCAUCACAGAGCCACAUAGAAACACUUCAGGUGGCUUCACAGAGCCAAGAGAGACCCUUCAGGUGACAACACAGAGCCACAGAGAGACACUACAGGUGAUAUCACAGAGCCACAUAGAGAACCUUCAGGUGACAUCACAGAGCCACAGAGACACGCUUCCUGUGACAUCACAGAGACACAGAGACCCCUUCAGGUGACAUCACAGAGCCACAGAGACAUCAUUCUGUUGACAUCACAAAGCCACCAAGAGACAAUUCAGCUGACAUCACAGAACCAUAGAGAGAACCUUCUGGUGACUUCACAGAGCCACAGAGAGACCCUAGAGUUGACAUCCCUUAGCCACAGAGAGAUGAUUCAGGUGACAUCACAUAACCACAGAGAUUCUUUCAGGUGACAUCACAAAGCUUCUAAGGGACUUCACAGGUGACAUAGCAGAUCCAGAGAGAGAUCCUUCAGGUGACAUCACAGACCCACAGAGAGACCCUUCAGGUUUCAUCACAGAGCCACAGAGAGACCCUUCAUUUGACAUCCCUUAUCCACAGUGAGACACUUCAGGUGACAUCAGAGAACCAACAGAGACACUUCAGGAGUCAUCUCAGAGCCACAGAGACACACUUCAGGUGUCAUCACAGAGCCAGAGAGACACUUCAGGUGACAUAACAGAGCCACAGAGAUACCAUUCAUGUGACAUCACAGAACCAGAGACAGAUCCUUCUGGUGACAUCACAGAGCCACAGAGACCUCUUCUGGUGACAUCACAGAGCCACAGAGAGACGCUUCAGGUGUCAUCAAAGAGACACAGAGAGACACUUCAGGUGAUAUCACAGAGCCAUACAGAGACUUUAAGGUGACAUCACAGAGCCACAGAGAGACACUUCUGGUGACAAAACAGAGCCACAGAAAUACCAUUCUUGUGACAUCACAGAACCAGAGACAGAUCCUUCUGGUGACAUCACAGAGCCACAGAGACAUAUUCUGGUGACAUCACAGAGCCACAGAGACAUCAUUCAGGUAACAUCACAAAGCUUCUAAGAGACUUUACAGGUGACAUAACAGAACCAGAGGGAGAUCCUUCAGGAGACAUCACAGAGCCACAGAGAUGCAAUUCAGGUGACAUCACAGAGCCACAGAGAGACACAUCAGGUGUCAUCAGAGAGCGACAGAGAAACCCUUCAGGUGACAACACAGAGCCACAUAGAAACACUUCACGUGGCUUCCCAGAGCCACAGAGAGACCCUUCAGGUGUCAUCACAGAGCCACAGAGAGAAACUACAGGUGAUAUCACAGAGCCACCAAGAGAAACUUCAGGUGAUAUCACGGAGCCACAGAGACACGCUUCCUGUGACAUCACAGAGACACUGAGACCCAUUCAGGUGAUAUCACAGAGCCACAGAGACAUCAUUCUGUUGACAUCACAAAGCCACCAAGAGACCAUUCAGAUGACAUCACACAACCAUAGAGAGACCCUUCUGGUGACUUCACAGAGCCACAGAGAGACCCUACAGUUGACAUCACUUAGCCACAGAGAGACCAUUCAGGUUUCAUCUCAGCCACAGAGAGACACUUCAGGUCUCUUCACAGAGCCACAGAGAGACCAUUCAGUUGUCAUCACAGAAACACAGAGAGAACCUUCAGGUGACUUCACAGAACCACAGAGAGACACUUCAGGUGUCAUCACAGAGCCACAGAGAGACCCUUCAUUUAACAUCCCUUAACCACAGAGAGUUACUUCAGGUGACAUCAGAGAACCAACAGAGAACUUCAGGAGUCAUCUCAGAGCCACAGAGAGACACUUCAGGUGUCAUCACAGAGCCAGAGAGACACUUCAGGUGACAUAAGAGAGCCACAGCAAUACCAUUCUUGUGACAUCACAGAACCAGAGACAGAUCCUUCUGGUGACAUCACAGAGCCACAGAGACAUCUUCUGGUGACAUCACAGAGCCACCGAGACAUCAUUCAGGUAACAUCACAAAGCCUCUAAGGGACUUUACAGGUGACAUAACAGAACCAGAGAGAGAUGCUUUAGGUGACAUCACAGAACCACAGAGAGACGCUUCAGGUGUCAUCACAGAGCCACAGAGAUGCAAUUCAGGUGACAUCACAGAGCCACAGAGAGACACUUCAGGUGUCAUCACAGAGCCACAGAGAGACCCUUCAGGUGUCAUCACAGAGACACAGAGAGACACUUCAGGUGACAUAACAGAGCCACAGAAAUACCCUUCAGGUGACAUUAAAGAACCAGAGAGAGACCCUUCUGGUGACAUCACAGAGCCACAGAGACCUCUUCAGUUGACAUCACAGAGUCACAGAGACACCAUUCAUGUGACAUCACAAAGCCACAGAGAGACCAAUCAUGUGUCGUCACAGAGCCAUAGAGAUACAAUUCAGUUGACAUCACAGAGCAACAGAGAGACACUUCAUGUGUCAUCACAGAGCCACAGAGAGACCCUUCAUUUGACAUCCAUUAUCCACAGAGAGACACUUCAGGUGACAUCAGAGAACCAACAGAGACACUUCAGGAGUCAUCUCAGAGCCGCAGAGAGACACUUCAGGUGUCAUCAAAGAGCCAGAGAGACACUUCAGGUGACAUAACAGAGCCACAGAGAUACCAUUCAUGUGACAUCACAGAACCAGAGACAGAUCCUUCUGGUGACAUCACAGAGCCACAGAGACCUCUUCUCGUGACAUCACAGAGCUACAGAGAGACAGUUCAGGUGUCAUCACAGAGACACAGAGAUACAAUUCAGGUGACAUCACAGAGCCACAGAGAGACACUUCAGGUGAUAUCACAGAGCCAUAGAGAGACUUUCAGGUGUCAUCACAGAGCCACAGAGAGAGACUUAAGAUGACAAAACAGAUCCACAGAAAUACCAUUCUUGUGACAUCACAGAACCAGAGACAGAUCCUUCUGGUGACAUCACAGAGCCACAGAGAGACACUUCAGGUGAUAUCACAGAGCCAUAGAGAGACUUUCAGGUGACAUCACAGAGCCACAGAGAGACACUUCAGGUGACAUCACAGAGCCACAGUGAGACACUUCCGGAGACACCACAGAGCAACAGAGUUACCCUUCAAGUGACAUCACAGAGCCACAAAUUGACACUUUUUGUGACAUCACAGAACCUGAGAGAGAUCCUUUGGUGAUAACACAGAGCAACACAGACCCCUUCUGGUGACAUUACAGAGCCACAGAUACACCAUUCAGGUGACAUCACAAAGCCAUUAAGAGACAGUUCAGGUGGCAUCACAGAGCCACAGAGAGACCCUUCAGGUGACAUCACAGAGCCACAGAGAGACCCUUCACGUGACAUCACAGAGCCACAGAGAGACCCUUCUGGUGUCACCACAAAGAUGCAGAGACACCUUCAGGUGACAUCACAGAUCAACAGAGAUACCAUUCAGAUGACAUCACAAAGCCUCCAAGAGACCCUUCAGGUGACAUCACAGAACAAGAGAGUGACCGUUCUGGUACAUCACUUAGCCACAGAGAGUUGCUUCAGGUGACAUCACAGAGACCCAGAGACUCUUCAGGUGUCAUCACAGAGCCACAGAGAGAUGCUUCAGGUGAGAUCACAGAUCAACACAGAGACAUUUCAGGUGUCAUCACAGAGCCACAGAGAGACACUUAAGGUGACAACACAGAGCCACAGGAGACACUUCAGGUGACAUCACAGAGCAACACAGAGACACUUCAUGUGUCAUCACAGAGCCACAGAGAGACCCUUCAGGUGGCAACACAGAGCCACAUAGAAACACUUCAGGUGGCUUCACAGAGUCACAGAGAGACACGUCAGGUGUCAUCACAGAGCCACAGAGAGACACUACAGGUGAUAUCACAGAGCCACAUAGAGAACCUUCAGGUGACUUCACAGAGCCACAGAGGCACCCUUCCUGUGACAUUACAGAGACACAGAGACCCCUUCAGGUGACAUCACAGAGCCACAGAGACAACAUUCUGUUGACAUCACAAAGCCACCAAUAGACUAUUCAGGUGACAUCACAGAACCAUAGAGAGCCCCUUCUGGUGACUUCACAGCGCCACAGAGAGACCCUACAGUUGACAUCCCUUAGCCACAGAGAGACGCUUCAGGUGACAUCACAGCACCACAGAGAUUCCUUUCAGGUGACAUCAAAGAGCCACAGAGAGACCCUUCAGGUUUCAUCACAGCCACAGAGAGACACUUCAGGUCUCUUCACAGAGCCACAGAGAGACCCUUCAUUUGUCAUCACAGAAACACAGAGAGACCCUUCAGGUGACAUCACAGAACCACAGAGAGACACUUCAGGUGUCAUCACAGAGCCACAGAGAGACCCUUCAUUUGACAUCCCUUAUCCACAGAGAGGCAUUUCAGGUGACAUCAGAGAACCAACAGAGACACUUCAGGAGUCAUCCCAUAGACAGAGAGACACUUCAGGUGACCUAACAGAGCCACAGAAAGACCAUUCAUGUGACAUCACAGAACCAGAGAGAGAUCCUUCUGGUGACAUCACAGAGCCACAGAGACACCAUUCAGGUGACAUCACAAAGCCACAGAUAAACGAUCAGGUGUCAUCACAGAGCCACAGAGAUACAAUUUCAUUGACAUCACAGAGCCACAGAGAGACACUUCAAGUUACAUCACAUAGCCACAGAGAUAUACUUCAAGUGACAUCACAGAGACACAGAGAGACUUUCAGGUGACAUCACAGAGAAACAGAGAUGAUUCAGGUGACAUCACAGAGCCAAAGAGAGACCCUUCAGGUGACAUCAUAGAGCCACAUAAAUACCAUUCAUGUGACAUCAAAAAGCCACUAAGAGACUCUUCAGUUGGUAUAACAGAAAACAGAGAAAGACCCUUCUGAUGAAAUCACAGAGCCACAGGAGAUACUGUUCAGGAGAAAUCACAGAUCCACAGGAAUGAUACUUCUUGUUAUAUCCUAUUUGCACAUGAUAGACACUUCAGGUGACAUCACAGAGCCACAGACUGACCCUUCAGGUGACAUCACAGAACCACAGAGAGUCCCUCAGGGGACAUCACAGAGCCACAGAGAUAACAUUCAGGUGUCAUCAGAGAGCAACAGAGAUACAAUUCAGGUGACAUCACAGAGCCACAGUGAGACACUUCAUGUGACAUCACAGAGCCACAGAGACCUCUUCUUGUGACAUCACCGAGCCACAGAUACACAAUUCAGGUGACAUCACAAAGCCACUACGAGACCCUACAGGUGACAUCCCUUAGCCAUAGCCAGUCGCUAAAGUUGACAUCAAAGAACCACACAGAGACACUUCAGGUGUCAACCCAGAGCUACAGAGAGACACUUCAGGUGUCAUCACAGAGCCACAUAGAGACACUUCAGGUAAUAUCAUAGAGCCAUUGAGAGACUUUCAGGUGAAAUCACAGAUAAACAGAGAUGCUUCAGGUGACAUCACAUAGCCACAGAGAGACACUUCAGGUGACAUCUCAAUUCCACAGAGACACUUCAGGUGUCAUCACAGAGGCAUAGAGACCACAUCAGGUGUCAUCACAGAGGCACAGAGUGACCAUUCAGGUGACACCAGAGAUACACAGAGAGACACUUCAGGUGACAUCAAAGAGCCACAGAGAGACACUACAGUUGACAUUAUUGAGCCACAGAGAGACGCUUCAAGUGACGCCACAGAGCCACAGUGAGACACUUCAGGUGACACCAGAGAGCAACAGAGUUACCCUUCAAGUGACAUCACAGAGCCACAAAUUGACACUUUUUGUGACAUCACAGAACCUGAGAGAGAUCCUUUGGUGAUAGCACAGAGCUACAGAGACCCCUUCUGGUGACAUACAGAGCCACAGAUACACCAUUCAGGUUACAUCACAAAGCCAUUAAGAGACAAUUCAGGUGACAUCACAGAGCCACAGAGAGACCCUUCACGUGACAUCAGAGAGCCACAGAGAGACCCUUCUGGUGUCACCACAAAGAUGCAGAGACCCCUUCAGGUGACAUCACAGAACAACAGAGAUACCAUUCAGAUGACAUCACAAAGCCUCCAAGAGACCCUUCAGGUGACAUCACAGAACAAGAGAGUGACCGUUCUGGCGUCAUCUCUUAGCCACAGAGAGAUGCUUCAGGUGACAUCACAGAGACACAGAGACACUUCAGGUGUCAUCACAGAGCCACAGAGAUACCCUUGAGGUGACAACACAGAGCCACAGGAGACACUUUAGGUGACAUCACAGAGCAACACAGAGACACUUCAUGUGUCAUCACACAGCCACAGAGAGACCCUUCAGGUGUCAUCACAGCCACAGAUAGACACUUCAGGUUUCAUCACAGAGCCACACAGAACCACAGAGAGACAUGUCAGGGGGCUUCACAGAGCCACAGAAAGACCAUUCAGGUGACAUCAAAGAACCAGAGAGAGAUCCAUCUGGUGACAUCACAGAGCCACAGAGACCUCUUCUGGUGACAUCACAGAGCCACAGAGACACCAUUCAGGUGACAUCACAAAGCCACUAAGACACCAUUCAGGUGACAUCACAGAACCAGAGAGGGACUCUUCUGGUGACAUCACAGAGCCACAGAGAGUUGGUUCAGGUGUCAUCACAGAGCCAGAGAUACACUUCAGGUGACAUCACAGAGUCACAGGAGAGAAUCUUCAGGGGACAUCACUGAGCCACAGGAAUAACACUGCUUGUGAUAUCACAGAGGUGCAUGAUAGACCAUUCAGGUGAUGCCACAGAGCCACAGGAAUGAAACUAUUGGUGACAUCACAGACCCACAGAGAGACCAUUCUUUUUACAUAUCAGAUCCACAGAGAGACCUUUCAGGUGACAUCACAAAGCCACAGAUUGACCCUUCAGGUGACAUCACAGAACCACAGAGAGACUCUUCAGGUGACAUCACAAAGCCACAGAGAGACACUUCUGGUGUCAUCACAGAACCACUGAGAGAUCCUUCAGAUGACAUCACAGAGCCACAGAGAGACACUUCAUUUGACAUACCUGAGCCACAGAGAGACUCUUCAGGUGAAAUCACAGAGUAACACAGAGACAUUUCUGGUGUCAUCACAGAACCACUGAGAGAUCCUUCAGAUGACAUCACAGAGCCACAGAGAGACACUUCAGGGGACAUCACAGAGCCACAGAUUCACCCUUCAUGUUACAUAACAGAGCCACAGAGAGACCAUUCAGGUGACAUCACAGAGAAACAGAGAGACACUUCAGGUGACAUCACAGAGCCACAGAGGGACGAUUCACGUGACAUCAAAAAGCCACUGAGAGACUCUUUAGGUGGCAUCACAGAACCAGAGAAAGACCCUUCAGAUGAAAUCACAGAGCCACAGGAGAGACUGUCCAGGAGAAAUCACAGAGCCAAAGGAAUGACACUUCAUGGGAUAUCCGAGAGGCGCAUUACAGACCCUUCAGGUGACAUCACAGAGCCACAUGUUGACCCUUCAUGUGACAAAACAGAACCACAGAGAGUCCCUUCAGGUGACAUCACAGAGCCACAGAGAGAUGCUUCAGGUGUCAUCACAGAGUCACAGAGAUACAAUUCAGGGGACAUCACAGAGCCACAGAGAGACAAUUAAUGUGACAUCACAGAGUCAAAAAGUUACACUUCAGGUAUAAUCACAGAGCCACAGGAGAGAAUCUUCAGGAGACAUCAAACAGCCACAUGAAUAACACUGCUUGUGAUAUCACAGAGGAGCAUGAUAGACCCUUCAGGUGAUGUCACAGAGCCACAGGAAAGAAACUAUUGUUGACAUCACAGAGCCGCAGAGAGAAUCUUCUGGAUAAAUCACGGAGCCACAGAGAGAAACUUCAGGUGACAUCACAGAGCCACAGAUUGACCCUUCAGGUGACAUCAGAGAACCACAGGGAUACCCUUCAUGUGACAUCACAAAGCCACAGAGAGACCAAUCAGGUGUCAUCACAGAGCCACAGAGAUACAAUUCAGGUGACAUCACAGAGCCACAGAAGACACUUCAAGUGACAUCACAUAGCCACAGAGUUACAUUUCAAGUGACAUUACAGAGGCACAGAGAGAUUUUCAGGUGACAUCACAGAGAAAAAGAGAGACGCUUCAGGUGACAUCACAGAGCCACAGAGAGACCCCUCAGGUGACUUCAGAGAGCCACAGAAAUACAAUUCAGGUGACAUCAGAAAGCCACUAAGAGACUCUUCAGGUGGCAUCACAGAACCAGAGAAAGUCCUUUCUGAUGAAAUCACAGAGCCACAGGAGAGAUUGUUCAGGAGAAGUCACAGAGCCACAGGAAUGACACUUCUAGUGAUAUCUGAGAGGCACAUGAUAGACCCUUCAGGUGACAUCACAGAGCCACAGAUUGACCCUUCAGGUGACAUCACAGAACCACAGAGAGUCCCUUGAGGUGACAUCACAUAGCCACAGAGAGACCAUUCAGGUGUCAUCGGAGAGCAACAGAGAUACAAUUCAGGUGACAUCACAGAGCCACAGAGAGAAACAUCAUGUGACAACACAGAGCCACAGAGACACCAUUCAGUUGACAUCACAAAGCCACCAAGAGACCCUUCUAGUGACAUCACAGAACCAGAGAGAGACCCUUCAGGUGACAUCACAGGGCCACUGAUUGACACUUCAGGUGAAAUCACAGAACCACAGAGAGACCCUUCAGGUGACAUAACAAAGCCACAAAGAGACUGAUCAGGUGUCAACACAGUGCCACAGAGAUACAAUUCCUGUGACAUCACAGAACCACAGAGAGACAUUUCAAGUGACAUCACAGAGCCACAGAGUUAUACUUCAGGUGACAUCACGGAGGCACAGAGAGACUUUCAGGUGACAUAACAGAGAAACAGAGAGACCCUUCAGGUGUCAUCACAGAGCCACAGAGACACUUCAGGUGACAUAACUGAGCCACAGAGAUAGCCUACAGGUGACAUCACAGAGCCACAGGGAGACCCCUCAGGUGACAUCAGGUAGCCAUGAGAAACACUUCUGUUGAUAUCACACAGAUGCAGAGACCCAUUCAGGUGACAUCACAGAAACACAGAAAUACAAUUCAGAUGACAUCACAAAGCCUCCAAGAGACCCUUCAGGUGACAUCACAGAACGAGAGAGUGACCCUUAAGGUGAAGUCACUUAGCCACAGAGAGACGCUUCAGGUGACAUCACUGAGCCACACAGAGACACUUCAGGUGUCAUCACAGAGCCACAGGGAGAUGCUUCAGGUGACAUCACAGAGCCAACAGAGACAUUUAAGGUGUCAUCACAGAGCCAAGAGAGACUUUUCAGGUAACAUCACAGAGCCACAUUGAGUCACUUCAGGUGACAUCACAGAGCCACAGAGUGACUUUCAGGUGACAACACAGAGUCACAGUGUUACCCUUCAG